rnacentral:lncRNA from 1 species
GGGUCCUGAAGAGAUGGCUUUGAAGUUGGGAGUGUCUGAGUUCCUUCUUGGGCGUUCCCUGGACGGGGCUCCACCACCUUCUCCUCCACUGAGUCUGGGGAGCGCCUCUCCAGGCUGUGGCAUCAGACGCCUCUCCCCGAGUGCCUGUCCUCAAGGUUCGGAUUCUGGGCAAUAGUCAGUUGCCUGGCUUGCGUCACCAGCCUGCUUCUGGAGAGGAGGGGCAGGACCUUGGGAUGUGCCGGUCCGCCAAGUGAGAUGGUAGAUCCUCAAAGGAAAGGUUCCCCGGCAUCAGAACAAGGAGGAAAGUGAUGCUGAGGAGGCAAAUCAGAUGCUCCCCAGGCUGAGGUCCUCCCACUGGCCCUAGAUCUGGCCUCCCUGAAAUGAACAUUCUCUCUCUCUGUUUGCCCUCUCCUUUCUGACUUCUUUCCUUCCUUUCCUCGAAUAUUUCCUGAAUGCUUGCUCUGUCUCAGGCACACCACUGGGCCGUGGGAAUAGAAAGAUGAGUCAAACUCAGGGCCGGCCCCAGGGAACCCAUCUAAUCCAGAUCAGCAUACACGGCCGCUCAACCAUGGCGUGGGCAAGGCAGGCAUUGCCAGUCGAGCCCAGCACACCUUCCCCGGGAGCCUGGGCCGGGCCUCAAGAUUCCGCUCAGCACAGAGCUCCAGGCAGGCAGUUCUCAUCAACUGGAGUUGGUCCAAGCUAUGGGAAUUCUUUGCUACGCCCAGCCAAAAACACGCCUCUUUCCCAUAACACUUCUGACACUUAAAACCAGCAGAAUUCCCCUAGGCUGACCACCAGGCUCAUUUCUACUCCUUAAGGCCAGUGGCAUCGGUGCCUUCAGCUCCUGACCCUGCUUGGCUGUUGAGUCAGUUUGGGGGUUGGGAGCCUGAGCACAGUUCCCGUGGACAAGACUGCAUCCGAGUCCCAUCCCUCGCACUGCGUCCUUCUGAGCAUCCUCGGGUUUGGGUGAAUCUUCUGUGGCUCCUAUAACAAAUCACCCCACACUGAGCGGCUUAAAAUAAGAUAAAUAUACUUUUCUUUCUUUCUUUCUUUUUUUUUUUUUUUUAAAUUUUUCUAGGGCUGCACCCUCGGCAUAUGGAGGUUUCCAGGCUAGGGGUCUAAUAUCUGUAGCCUCUGGCCUACACCAGAGCCACAGCAACGCUAGAUCUGAGCCACGUCUGUGACUUACACCACAGCUCAUGGCAAUGCAAGAUCCUUAACCCAAUGAGCAAGGCCAGGGAUUGAACCUGAAACCUCAUGGUUCCUAGUUGGAUACAUUAACCACUGAGCUGCAACGGGAACUCCGAGAGAUACUUUCUAUUGCUGCUAAGUCACCUGCUCUGUGGUAUUUUGUUAUAGCUGCCUGAAUGGACUGAGACUCUGCCUCCCUGCGAUUAGGGCCUUUGUGAUGCCAACAGGCCCACCGGGAUAAUCCAGAAUAAUCUCCCCAUCCCAAGAGCCUUAACAAAAUCAUAUCUGCAAAAUCCCUUUUGUCCCAUAAGGUAACAUUCAUAGGUUCCGGGGAUUCGAACAUGGGCAUUUUGAGGGGCUGCAAUUCUGUCUGCCACACACCCCUUGCCCAUAAAAUGGGGGUAUUGAUAACCCACUUCAUAGGCUUGUGGGGAGGACGAUGCCUAUGAACCACUGUGCAGAGUGAUCUGUUGCUGCUGUAGCAGAUGACCAUGAACUUGGCUUAACAUCACACAGAUUCAUCAUCUGACAGUUCUAGAGGUCGGAUGUCUACUACAGGUUUCACUGGGUAAAAAUCAAAGUGUCAGCAGGACUGCAUUCCUCCUGAGGCUCUGGGAAAAUGCAUCGCUUUGCCCUUUUCCAGCUUCUAGAGGCCGCCCUCGUUCCUUGGCUCCUGGCCCCUUCCUCCAUCUUCGCAGCCAGCAGUGUUGCCUCUUGGACCAUUCUUCUGGUAGCCUCUCUCCCUGCCUUCUUUUUGCCUCCCUCUUCCCAUUUAAGGAUGCUUGAGAUUACAUUGGGCCUAUCCGCAUCAUCCAGGCUCAUCUCUCUAUUUUAAGAUCAACUAGGAGUUCCCGUUGUGGCUCAGUGGUUUAAGAAGCCAACUGAUAUCCAUGAGGAUGUGGGUUUGAUCCCUGGCCUCAAAAAGUGCGUUAAGGAUCUGCCAUUGCCACAAGCUUCGGCAUAGGUCACAGAUGCGGCUUGGAUCUGGCAUUACCGUGGUGUAGGCCAGCAGCUCAGAUUGGAAGCGCUUAAAAUUCCAUGUGCUGCAGGUGCAGCUGUAAAAAAAAAAAAAAAAAGAAAGAAAGAAAAAUCAGCUUCUUAGCAGCUGCAACUUUGCCAGGUAACUAUUCACAGGUCCCAGGGACUAGGAUGUGGCCAUCUUUUGGGGGGUCAUUUUCCUGCCCACCACAUUCUGGAAGGGGAAAGGUUGAACAGGCCCUGUCUCAUUUUAAUCUUCCCAACAAACAUGGCAGGAGAUUCAUGUCAUUAACCGCAUUUUACAGGUGGAGAGACUGAGGUUAAGAUCACACGAGGUGAGUGCCUAUCGUGGUGCAGCAGAAACGAAUCUGACUAGUGUCCAUGAGGAUGCGGCUUCGAGCUCAGUGGGUUAAAGAUCUGGCGUUGCUGUGCUGAGGGUCGUAGACACACCUUGGA